UACGUAGGGUGCGAGCGUUGUCCGGAAUUAUUGGGCGUAAAGGGCUCGUAGGCGGUUUGUCACGUCGGGAGUGAAAACUCAGGGCUCAACCCUGAGCCUGCUUCCGAUACGGGCAGACUAGAGGUAUGCAGGGGAGAACGGAAUUCCUGGUGUAGCGGUGAAAUGCGCAGAUAUCAGGAGGAACACCGGUGGCGAAGGCGGUUCUCUGGGCCGUAACUGACGCUGAGGAGCGAAAGCGUGGGGAGCGAACAGG
rnacentral:rRNA from 1 species